AAGGAUCAUUGUCGAUGCCCCAAUCCAGAGAGACCCGCGAACGCGUUUGGCUACCGGGGACAGUCGAAGCUGCUCAGCGGCUCGCCUUCCCCAAAUGCCGGGACCGAGCCACGCCUUCCGCGGUCUCGUCCCGGCGCAAUAACAACAAACCCCGGCGCGGAACGCGCCAAGGAAGCAACAAUUGUAGAGCGUGCCCCGUCGACCCGGCAACGGUGCUCGCACGGGUGAUGUCGCAGCACUCGAGUCCAAAACGACUCUCGGCAUCGAUGAAGAACGCAGCGAAAUGCGAUACUUGGUGUGAAUUGCAGAAUCCCGUGAACCAUCGAGUCUUUGAACGCAAGUUGCGCCCGAAGCCACCAGGCUAAGGGCACGCCUGCCUGGGUGUCACUAAUCGCUGCCCCAACCCCUGUGCCCGUGGCCACGGAGCGGGGCGAAUGUUGGCUUCCCGCGAGCACCGCCUCGCGGUUGGCUGAAAAUCGGGUUCGUGGUGGGUUCGACGCCGUGACAGAUGGUGGUUGAGCAUGUUCUCGAGGCCAGUCAUGCGUGCGACCUCCACCAGCUCCGUACCCAGUGACCCGCGAGCGACGUCGAUCGCCCAUGACGCGACCUCAGGUCAGGC
rnacentral:misc_RNA from 1 species